rnacentral:rRNA from 1 species
AGUGAACGCUGGCGGCGUGCCUAAUACAUGCAAGUCGAACGGAGUGGCGCACGGGUGAGAAAUAUAUAGCUAAUUCGCCCCUUGCUGGAGGACUACAGUUUGAAAUGACUGCUUAUACUCCAUAGCAAGAGAAGAGACGAUAUCGUAUCAGCUAGUCGGUGGGGUAACGGCCUACCGAGGCUAUGACGCGUAACUGUUCUGAGAGGAUGAUCAGUCACAUUGGAACUGAGACACGGUCCGAACUCCUACGGGAGUGAGCAGUAGGGAAUAGUGCGCAAUGGGGGAAACCCUGACGCAGCUACGCCGCGUGGAGGAUGACACUUUUCGGAGCGUAAACUCCUUUUGUUAGGGAAGCGGUACCUAACGAAUAAGCACCGGCUAACUCCGUGCCAGCAGCCGCGGUAAUUC